AACUCCGGCGUCCCUGCCGACUUCCCACCGCCCCUCACCACCGCGGACCGUCGGCAUCCGCCGCCUCCUCCGCGGGCCGCGGCCCCCCAUCCUCCGCCGCGCUAUCGGGCCCCACCUCCUCCGUCGUGCCGCCCGCCCGCGAGCCGCGCGAGCCUCCCCUGAGCUGCGACCCCUUGGCAUCCGUCUCCUCACCGACGCGAGGCGCGCCCCCCCUCCUCCGCCGCGCCGACAGCAAGCUAACCCGACCCCGCAGGAACGAACCCUAGUUAGCCAUUCCCCUCUUCGGAGUCGGAGCUGCUGGAUCCCCACCCCACCCUCUCUCCGCCUCCCUCACUGGCGGAGCGUUCGCUCGCCCAGUGCUGUCUCUGUGGCCGCGCCCGCCGCCGCCUCCUCCUGAUUGCCCUGCCCUUGAUCUUUCGAUUGAGCUUAGUACCUGAUUGCACCGCAGUGGAUGGAUGCAGUCAGACAUUGUUGCUAGCUAUGUUACUUUUGCAGCUAGAUUGAGUGCUUCAGUGACACAUGACACACCGUCACGCUCCCCUCUUGCAGGAAUCAUCAGUACACACUGCCGGGCGGUGAGUCCAGCCUUCCAGACUUCAGGGAUUAAUCUCCGGUGCUUUCAAGUUCAUGACCAAGGGCGCAAAGAAAGGCAAGAAUGGGCCUUCAGACCAGCAGCCCGCAUACUGCCCAGUUGUUGACUCAGGUUUUUGCAUGCCAGUUUCCGCUUUUUCUAUGAUUGAAUACCAGUUGCAUGUAUCCACUGCAACUACUCAUCAAUACAAUGCUUGAGGUCAAUUAUCACAAAGAAGAGCUGCAGAUGCUGUCGAAAUCAAAUCAUGUUGCUAUUGUCUCCGUUGACAGUAGACCUGGCAUUUGGGACUUGUCUGGAGUGCAUGCUAUGCAAGGAUAGAAAGCGGUGCUGGGGCUCAUGGGGCAUUGGGGCUCAAGGUUAUCAUUCUUUCCAGCACUUGAUAUCCGGGUCAAGAAUGUAGCAGGGACCUACUCCUUAGAACAUAAAGGGGAAAGCGAUCUUUUCAGCCAGUUAUUUGCUCUCCUACAAUUGGACAAACGCCUCAGGCAACAUACGUCCAAGGAAGAAGAACAUGUUGCCCCUUUAAAUUUCAGUAUGGAUUUUGUUCUUGGGAUGACACCUUUUGUUUUUAUGCCUGCAUUUCUUCACAUACAUACUCCAGUAGAUAUAGCCAAAGUAUGAUUCUUGAUGCUUCUGUGCAUUGCUGAGAUUAUGAUGCUCUUGAUUGGCUACUCCUCAAUGUUCAUUGGCUACAGAUUUCUCUAAUUUGUAUUUUUUUGUCCACUAUUUCAGGUUUGAGUAUAUUUUACAAUCUAAUUGAUCAGUCCUUCAGGCUUCCAGGUUCAGAUGUGGCACCAUGACUACAAGCUGCUAAGAGCAACAACCGUGUGGAGCAUUGCAGGUUCUGUAAGUUGUGCUAAUAAAUGGGUUACCAACAUGCUGUGAUCAGCAUUGUGUUCAUCACCAAAGGAACGGCUCCAUCCCCCUGAGGUACGCGCAAAACUAAUUAAAUCCGAGUCAGUGAGUGUGAGUCAUCUACUUUGCCUAGUUUAGAAUUUUAGAUUUGUGAAUCAUCUACAUAUUGUUCUUGGCAAUAGAUUCAUCAGUCGAUGGCAAAAAUGACAGCUUGAUUGAUGUUGGUGAACAACAAUCAAGAUUUUUUAAUCGAUAUGAUGUAUGUUCUGACCAUAACUUGUAUCUCAUCUGUUGGGCAUUGCAAGCACAUGCUGAGAAUGCACCAAUCAUUUUAUUUUCCCUAAAAAGCUUUCUCUCCAAAUGACAGAGAUAGUCAGGAAUGGAUCACCCACCUAUUAUAUUUAUUUGAAGGUUCUAAAUCCGAUUACCAUUUGGUGUAUCCAACAUGCUAAAUGUACACGACAAGCUUAUGAUCGAGUUCAGGUAUAACAUGUACACUAACUUUUCUGCAUUCAUCUCUCCACUCUUUUCUAUUUGCAAUUUAUUCAGUUCAAGGUAUGUGUUCAUGAAAAUAGAAGAACUGGUGAAUAAUCACCAAUAGGGCUCUACUCGGUUCAGCUUUAGAAUGGGUUCUGCAUCAAGGGGGUGAUAUUGUUCCUGUACCAGGUGUGAUCUUAUAAUUCCAUUCUCCGAUCAUUGGCAGCUACACACAAUGCUCGCCCACAAAUGCAUUUUCAGAUACUUUUCUUAUAUACACUUUCAUAGAAGUGAAAUGCAUGAUACUUAUAAAUCAUUACUAAUCGAAGGGUACUAUGAUAUGGGAAGUAUUCUCAUUCAAUUGUAAUAUAAUGAGAGGGACAUAUCCAAUCCUCCUCCAACAUACCAGGAGUACUUUUGUUGGUUCCACAAAUAUGGAGAUUUAACAAGACGCACGGAAAGCGGCUAGCGGGCAGCGCUGGGGGUGGAGGAUGAGCAGCCAACAAGAUUAUAGUAAUAUGGCAAUAUUGCCUUUCAGUGUGCAGUCUGAUAAUUUUUUUCAUGUCCUUGAUAGUAUGAAUAUUAGUCUUGCUGAAAAAUUGGAAUUAGUGCUGUAAUCAUGCAGAAUUUGUUGUAGUUUCAGUAUGUGUGAAUUUGGAUCGGAGCUGUCAUGCAGUGACCGCCUCUUUAGCUUGCCUGCGAUCAAAUCUGUCAUUCAAAAUAUGCAUACUAGAUGCCCUGCAAUAUAAAAGUGUCAGUGAGUGUAAGUAUAAGACUGAUUUGCUGUUCCUUUUUCUUUUUUUUUCUUCUUUAAUUCAUCAUCAUAAACAUUUCAUUUGCGUUGAAAAUUUGAUGAUUGGUAUGACACUAUUAUGUAAAAUGUUGAUGUUUCUGAAUCUCUAUUUGAAAACAUCAAGUUGCUAAGAUGAA